GUGUUUUGUGUAUUGCCUUCGGUCAAGUUUGUCAGCUGUGUGAAAAUCAUUUUAAUUUUAAAAUUUGAAUAACUUGUGAAAUUUUGAACUAUUUCUUUCUAUUAAUAUUUUCAAAAAAGUUUUAUAUUACAAUAUUUGAUUUUUUCUAUUUUUGUUUUGGUGCCAACUAAUUUGAUAUGUUGUCAGAGCUACUAAGCCUUCGCAGUUGGCACAAGACUGUGUGCUUUCAUUGUUCUGUGGAUCUGUAGUAUUACAAACUUAACUAGUACUACUUUAAUUUAAAACUUACAAGUUAUUAAAUUUCCAUUAACUUGGAGCUCUGACUUUAUGGAAGAAUUUAACUUUUGCUGUCACCAAGAUGUCACCACAACACAAGCUAUUUUUGUCAAUGUUCACUUAUAAAAUAAAAUCAUGAAGCUUCAGUAUAACAUGUUAUGACGACAGAAGACCCCAGUGAUACUGGGUUGAGAUGAUCGUCUCAUUGCAACAUGCUUUAGGAAUGACUGCACGUAACAAUCUUCUGAGAUAUUCCUGGUUUUUCCAUUUCGGAAGAUCGUCACACUCCGUAAUAUAAGGUUCCUGAUUUUACAUCCCCAGAAGCUACCAACUACUACAUUUGACAAAACUGUUUAUAUACAAUAAUAUAUGUAUGUUCUGCAUGUAUUUUUAUAUCUAAAUUUUAAUGUGUGAUUACUUUAAUUGGUUUAAAAAAAUAUUCACCUUCCCUUCCUACUACAUAAUGUCCUCUGUAUUAUCAUUUACUACUUCUUCUAAUGUAAGUUAAUCACUAUAUAUUAUAUGAGCUGCAAAAUCAUAGUUUUACCUAAUAAACAACUAUUAGUUGUUAAAUUAAGAAUUCAUUUUAACUACUGGCAUAAUUUAUCUGAUUUGUUUCACAUGAGUACAGAAUCUACAUCAUGACAUUAUUGAUAAUUUCUUGUUUCAUAAUUUUUAUAUCACGAGUGAAUAAUUUAAAACUGGGUAAAUAUGUUGUAAUGCAGUUUUUAAAUAAUGUGUUCAUUCUUUUGGCUGUGUUAAAACUUUGGUUUAUAUUUUAACAGGAUUAUGAAGUGUAUAACAUGUUUAAAUUAAAAAUCAUUUGAUAGCAGUAAAAUUUGGUGAUUUCUCUUUGCAUGCUUUGAAAAUAUUGAAUAGAAUGUAUUAAAAAAGUGAGUUAUAACAAUGACAUGACUCUUCUUCAUUCCGUAUCCAGUACACUAUUACCAUAAUUUGGCCAUGGUGGGUUGGCUUUGUGUACUAAUCCACAGUGGACUACAAAUGUAGUCAUAUACGUCCCCUACCAAGACUUGUAAUUAGCCAAAGAUGUUUCAGCCAGUGAGGCAAGUUCUUUUGCCAAAGUCUCCAAGUAAAAAAAUGUAAGAUAUUCUAUUCUGUAGAUUGGAUGUUGGCAACAAGAGUAAAAAUAGUAAUAAAGUUAAAAUGAAAUGAUAAUUUACACAUUAAUUGGGGUGUUCAAGACAGCCGACUGACUAUGGAGGUAUAUUUUUGGCUUCUACUUCUAUUUUGUGAUAAACUUUAGCUUCUGGUUAUUUUAAUUCUCUUUAUAUACAUUACUCAAGAACUGUGUAAAGUUACCCUCUUGUAAUUGUGGAUGAGUGUUUGUCUUCUUAAGUAUAACUAUGGAAUACAAAUGAGCACUCUCUCUAAUUUUAUUUAUUGGUGGACAUAAAUCGGUACAUUUCUUAAUUUUGUGGUAAAUAGAAAUGUUUUUAAUUUGUCAUUAUUUAUAAAAAGAAAACAAUAAAACCGUAUAAAAUAUUGUUUUAUUUUUAUCCGUUUACAUGUUUUCUUGUAUAAAAUUGUUACAGUCUUGAUGCUUUCUGGACAUUUGUUGAAAUUUAUUUUUUUAAGUAAUGUUAUCAACACUGUAAAGUCAGUGGGUAAACCAAAGUUUGUGUGUUUUGUUUAACAUUACAUUCAAUUAAAAAUGAUUUUAUUACAGCUAUUUAGUUGUACAGUAGUGGUAAUAGUUUAUAAUCUAACAGUUAUUUGAAGGUAAGUACAGUAUUAUUUUAAAUUUGGAAGUAUUUGUAGGCUUUAUACCAUUUCUGAAUGCCCUAUAAAUUUAGCACACUUUUAAUUAUAUUAGUAACUAUUUAAUUUAAAUUUAGUUUUAUUAAAAUUUAGUAUUACAACUUGCUAAAACCUUUGCUAUGCUUUAUAAAUACCUUAUUCAUUUUUAAUUACUGUUCACUAUAAAUUAACCUUUAUUAUAUUUUAAAAUAAUUGUUAUAUUUUGUAAAGAUGUGUUAUGCCUGUAUAAGUUAAUUAAGUGUUUAAGAUUGUGAUACACUUGUAGAAAUUGUAGCUUAAGCUGCGGUUUCUAAUCUUAAUAAUAAAUACAUUUUUAAUAUGAUUAUGCUUAUAUUAUUUAACCUUGAAUAUGCAGUGUGUUAUUAUAUGUUAAUAUUACUAAAUUAUCUACUGUAUGGUCAAACCAUCUCUGUCAAUCCUCCUACUGGUACAUCAAAUAUAAUAUUGUCAAAUACUUUUUAUGCAGAAUUUGCAGUAGCACUUCUCUAUGGCAGGAUAAUAAGACAAACAAAUGGUUUAAGGUUCUGUAGAAGUCAUUCGUUUUAUUCAGAUUUCAGGUUUGUGGCAAACAAUUUUAGUUCAAGAACAAAUAAGUAUCAAGAAUCAAGUUUUCUAAACUAACUUUGUGAUGGGCUAAUUUUUGUAGUAUGCUAUUCUGGGCGGAGCUUGCAUAGUAUACUCUGCAGAACAGAGCUCAUAAUACACUAUACAUGCUGGACAGAGCUUACGUAGUACUAAGCUGUGCUAGGCAGAACUUACAUAGUAUGCUAUGCUAGUCAGAGAUUUCUUAGUAUACUGUACUGAGUAGAGCUUACAUAGUACUGUGCUGUGCAGAGCUCGUAGUACACUAUGCAUGCUGGACAGGAACGUACACUGUACUGGGUAGAACUUAUUGUACACUGUGCUGUGCUGAACUUACGUAGUAGCGUAAUAUGACAAAACAUUAUUUGAAGGUUAUGUUGAAGUGAACCCAUUUACUCAACUAUGUCUUGAACUGAAACUGUUCAAGUACAAAGAAGUAUUCAAAAAUUAUCAGAAUAGUCUUAUGAGGGGGAAAUCAAAUAUAGUAUGCUGUUCUGGGCACAGCUUACAUAUUACACUUUGCCGUGCAGAGCUUACUUAUGUAAUAUUUUGUCCUGGACUUUUAUCACUCACUUCUCUCUACUGUUGAGCAUCUGCUGUCAUUGGUCUCAUCGAGAAAGUUGUGUUAAGUCUCAGUAAAUAUUUCUAUGAGCUUUUUACUUGCCCUUGGUUUUUGUCACGAUUGGUUUCAUUAAACUGUGUUCUGCUCUAACAAUUUGUUUCCUUCUUUCUAAAAAAAAUUGAUUACACUGUUGAGAUGUUGAAAACCAUUUAGGAAACGAUAAAGCUUUGAUGAAAAUUAAGUGCAAGACUGGUUUUCUCAUUCAAAAUAAUGUGAUAUGUUAUUUAAUGACAAACUUGUUCGGUGUAAUUGUUAAUUUCUUGAGAAGUUGACGAAAAUGGACAUGGGGAUGAAAAUUGAAAAUGGACUAUUAAAAUCUACUGACAUCUAGAAUAGUUGGAAAAUAAGGUUAAGAAAAUGUUAUUAGAAUGUUUGCGACUGAGAAGGAUUUGUGAGAGCAUCAAAAUUCUCCAUCAUGAUGCAAUGCACAAUUUUGUUUGCGCCUUUAGGACAGUCCAUAGUUUCCUUAUCCCAUACCUGAUUUAGUUACCUGAUUUCACUACAUGUAUUUAAUGUUUGUUUAUACAAAUGAAAAUGGAUAUGAAAAGAUAAUAUUCUAAUACAGUGGUUAACCCUCAUAGUGAUGAAUAUGUUUAUUAUUAAUGAUAGGUGCAUUUGGAGUGUUUCGCUGGGGGUUUCUUAAAAAUUAAUAAAAAUUAUUAAUUUUAUUGAAAAUACAAUAUAUUAUAUACCAAAAUAUUCAUAAAAACAUAAAGAACGAUUUUAAAGAAAAUAAAACUACUUUCCUUUGUACAUAUCCCUUAAAACUUGCUCAAAAAUUAAAAAAACUGUUUUUUGAAAAAAAAAUUUACCAUAAAAACCACAUAUAAAACUCACUAAACAAAGAUUUGAAGAUAGCAAAUUUUUUUAAUAAAUUUCAUGAAGAUAAAUAAUAUAUACAGUUUUCGCACAAUAUUUUACUUGAAAAACCUGUUAUGAUGGAAAUAUUGUACAAUAUGUACAUGGAAGAAACCCUUGCAUUCACUCCGAGGCACUACUACUAUCAUGCUUUCUCUUCCUCCCUUGAUACUUUGGUCUCCAAAAAUGAUCCAAUUUAUGGAAACACUCUCUAUGAACACCAGAAUUGCAUCCUGGACACUAGAAUCGCGAUCUUCCCCUUUUUUUGUGUGGCCACAUACAAUACAUAGCCGCUCUUGUCUUCCUGGUAAGCGUUGGAGGGAAUGGCCUGCACCAGGAUUUGAAUUAUAAUC